rnacentral:rRNA from 1 species
CCGUAGCAGGGGGAUAAGCGGAAGAAAUUCCGUCUAAUACCGCGUAACAACCCAUGGAGGCAUCUCCGUGGGUUUAAAGGAAGCGAUUCCGGCUACGGAUGGUCAUGCGUCGCAUUAGCUUGUUGGCGGGGUAACGGCCCACCAAGGCGACGAUGCGAAGGGGUUCUGAGAGGAAGGUCCCCCACACUGGUACUGAGACACGGACCAGACUCCUACGGGAGGCAGCAGUGAGGAGUAUUGGUCAAUGGCCGCAGGGCUGAACCAGCCAAGUCGCGUGAGGGAUGACGGUCCUAUGGAUUGUAAACCUCUUUUGUCAGGGAGCAAAGGGCGCCACGUGUGGCGUUUUGCGAGUACCUGAAGAAAAAGCAUCGGCUAACUCCGUGCCAGCAGCCGCGGUAAUACGGAGGAUGCGAGCGUUAUCCGGAUUUAUUGGGUUUAAAGGGUGCGCAGGCGGAAUGUCAAGUCAGCGGUAAAAUUUCGGGGCUCAACCCCGUCGUGCCGUUGAAACUGGCGUUCUUGAGUGAGCGAGAAGUAUGCGGAAUGCGUGGUGUAGCGGUGAAAUGCAUAGAUAUCACGCAGAACUCCGAUUGCGAAGGCAGCAUACCGGCGCUCAACUGACGCUCAUGCACGAAAGCGUGUGUAUCGAACAGGAUUAGAUACCCUGGUAGUCCACGCAGUAAAACGAUGAAUACUAACUGU